AUUGAACGCUGGCGGCAUGCUUUACACAUGCAAGUCGGACGGCAGCACAGAGAAGCUUGCUUCUUGGGUGGCGAGUGGCGAACGGGUGAGUAACAUAUCGGAACGUACCGAGCAGUGGGGGAUAACUAAUCGAAAGAUUAGCUAAUACCGCAUAUCUUCUGAGGAAGAAAGCAGGGGACCAUUUGGCCUUGCGCUGUUUGAGCGGCCGAUAUCUGAUUAGCUAGUUGGUGGGGUAAAGGCCUACCAAGGCGACGAUCAGUAGCGGGUCUGAGAGGAUGAUCCGCCACACUGGGACUGAGACACGGCCCAGACUCCUACGGGAGGCAGCAGUGGGGAAUUUUGGACAAUGGGCGCAAGCCUGAUCCAGCCAUGUCGCGUGUCUGAAGAAGGCCUUCGGGUUGUAAAGGACUUUUGUCAGGGAAGAAAAGGGCGGGGUUAAUACCCCUGUCUGAUGACGGUACCUGAAGAAUAAGCACCGGCUAACUACGUG
rnacentral:rRNA from 1 species